UACGGAGGGUGCGAGCGUUGUCCGGAAUCACUGGGCGUAAAGGGCGCGCAGGCGGUCUUGAAAGUCAGGCGUGAAAGCCCCGGGCUUAACCUGGGAAUUGCGCUUGAUACUCUGAGACUGGAGUACGGGAGAGGAGAGUGGAAUUCCCAGUGUAGAGGUGAAAUUCGUAGAUAUUGGGAAGAACACCAGUGGCGAAGGCGGCUCUCUGGACCGUAACUGACGCUGAGGCGCGAAAGCGUGGGGAGCAAACAGG
rnacentral:rRNA from 1 species